AAUAUUUCCCGGUCUUUUGGCUAAGAUCAAGUGUAUUUUUAUCAGUUUAAUAUCUGAUAUGUCCUCUAUCCAAUGACAAUAUAGUAAGAGGAUUUUUGGAGGUAGGGGUUGAAAUGGGAGCUUGUUUCACCCAUUUCAUGAAUUGACCUGGUAUUUCAGGACCUCCAGGAAUGGUGAAAAAAAU